rnacentral:rRNA from 1 species
CCCGCUGAACUUAAGCAUAUCAAUAAGCGGAGGAAAAGAAACUAACAAGGAUUCCCCUAGUAACUGCGAGUGAAGCGGGAAAAGCUCAAAUUUAAAAUCUGGCGGUCUCUGGCCGUCCGAGUUGUAAUUUAGAGAAGCGCUAUCCGCGUCGGACCGUGUACAAGUCUCCUGGAACGGAGCGUCAUAGAGGGUGAGAAUCCCGUCUUUGACACGGACUCCCGAUGCUAUGUGAUGCGCUCUCGAAGAGUCGAGUUGUUUGGGAAUGCAGCUCAAAAUGGGUGGUGAAUUCCAUCUAAAGCUAAAUAUUGGCGAGAGACCGAUAGCGAACAAGUACCGUGAGGGAAAGAUGAAAAGCACUUUGGAAAGAGAGUGAAACAGUACGUGAAAUUGUUGAAAGGGAAACGCUUGAAGUCAGUCGCGUCUUCCGAGACUCAGCCUUGCUCUUGCCUGGUGUAUUUCUCGGUAGACGGGCCAGCAUCGAUUUUGACCCUUGGAUAAUGGCGGGGGAAAGGUGGCACCCUUCGGGGUGUGUUAUAGUCCUCUGUCGCAUACAAGGGCUGGGAUCGAGGAAUUCAGUGCGCCCUGAAAGGGGUCGGGGCUUCGGCUCACGUUCGCUCUUAGGAUGCUGGCGUAAUGGCUUUAAACGACCCGUCUUGAAACACGG